UACGAAGGGGGCUAGCGUUGCUCGGAAUCACUGGGCGUAAAGCGCACGUAGGCGGCUUGUUAAGUCAGGGGUGAAAUCCCGGAGCUCAACUCCAGAACUGCCUUUGAUACUGGCGAGCUUGAGUUCGGGGGAGGUGAGUGGAACUGCGAGUGUAGAGGUGAAAUUCGUAGAUAUUCGCAAGAACACCAGUGGCGAAGGCGGCUCACUGGCCCGAUACUGACGCUGAGGUGCGAAAGCGUGGGGAGCAAACAGG
rnacentral:rRNA from 1 species